UCCCUGGUGGCUCAGACGGUAAAGCGUCUGUCUGCAAUGCGGGAGACCUGGGUUCGAUUCCACGGUAGGGAA
rnacentral:tRNA from 1 species